rnacentral:tRNA from 1 species
GCGGGAGUGGGCAAAAUGGAAAAGCCACUCGGCUCAAACCCGAGAGCCGCAAGGCAUUGAGGGUUCGACUCCCUCCUCCUGCAUCA